CGUAAGGUCCGAGCGUUGUCCGGAAUCAUUGGGCGUAAAGGGUACGUAGGCGGAUAAGCAAGUUAGAAGUGAAAUCCUAUAGCUCAACUAUAGUAAGCUUUUAAAACUGCUCAUCUUGAGGUAUGGAAGGGAAGUGGAAUUCCUAGUGUAGCGGUGAAAUGCGCAGAUAUUAGGAGGAAUACCGGUGGCGAAGGCGACUUUCUGGCCAUAAACUGACGCUGAGGUACGAAAGCGUGGGUAGCAAACAGGAUU
rnacentral:rRNA from 1 species